AUGGCAAAUUCAUGGUGUGAUCCUCUAUCUGAGGUCCAGUGCCAAUGGCCAAUAGCUCUAUUCAACCUAUGUUUCUCCACAAUUCAGUUAGUAAGUGUUCCAGUGAGUAAUACAGCAUAUAGAGUCAUAUUUAUUCUCCACAAACAGACCAAAGUCUCAGAAAAUUUCUUUAAGGAACACUUCAUGCUCCUAAACUCAUGAGCUAUAUGGAGAACCCACAUCAGUAGGUUCUCCUAGCAUGAUUGCCUCCAUUUUUCACAACUAUGCUGAGAAGAGUUCCUGAUCUUUCCUGGUAUUGCCCAUUGAAGGGGAAGGAAAAAGUAUAAAUAUAUUGUGAAAAGAACACCCAGUUAAGGAUCCUUGAGCUCGUUUUUUUAAAUCACUCACUUCCUAUGGAUAAAAAGUAUGUAGACACUCAUUAGGUGAAAACGUUUUGGUCCCCAAAGGGACCCAAACUGUAGCUUCCCACUACUAACAGCUAACCCUAUGACCAUACACUUGGAGUCCAGCAGCUGUGUCACAAGGUCUUCUUUUAUUGCUUGCAGCCAGCGCACAAUGUAGCAGGAGGCUCUCAAUGGACAGGACAGCUGUACUCGCAUUAAAUGUACCCUUAUUUUUCAUGCAAUCUGACUAUAAAUCUACAGCUUAAUUUCCAAACUGACUCUUACUGUUAACUCUCUUAAUUCCUGUCAGACAUUCUUAGGAUCUCAACCUAAUUUAUGCCAACUCUUUCUACUUUCAACCAUAAAUGAGAACAAUAGGGACAAUCUGGGAGAUGUAUGGGUCCUAAAAAGUACCUAUAGAUCCACUGGCCAUUAAAUACCCUGGCAAGUAGGUCAACCCCCCAGCUUAAUACUCUACCUUGAAAGCAAUAUAGUCCUUGAUGACAAUGAGUGAUUGUUGGUUCUUGAAGGUGCAUGGAUGGAGCCCCAGGGUAAAUCUGGGAGCUAGAGGUUCUGUGAAGAUUACUUCAGCUCCUUAAUUUAUCCCAAUUUAUAAACGGGUGUUUCUUGCCUGGAUAACUUGUCACCAAAGCCAGAAAAUUUUACUGUGAGAAUCCCUGGUUGCCUAUCCUUUAUAUGUUUAUGUUGUAGAGGGGACAGUCUAGUUCUACAUGCUCCUUCAGGAAAUUAUUAAUUGUAUUGGGCUUGUGUAAAAUCAAGAGAUCCCCAAAAGGCUGUUUACCAAAUACAGUUACUUU
rnacentral:lncRNA from 1 species